rnacentral:lncRNA from 1 species
ACCAGUACUGGCCCUAGUUGUCAAGUUCUCCAUUCAUCUUUGCAGGUGGUCAGGACAGGUACAGCACAGGCAGUGACAGUGCAAGCUUUCCCCACACCACCACGUCCAUGUGCCUCAACCCUGACCUGGAGGGACAACCUCUAGAGGCCUAUACCAUUCAAGGACAGUAUGCCAUUCCACAGCCAGAUUUGACCAAGCUGCACCAGUUGGCAAUGCAAUACUCUCAUUUUCCUAUGACGCAUGGUAACACUGGAUUCAGUGCAGGAUUGGAUGCAUCUGCUCAGACUACUUCUCAUG